CACUCCAGAGGGCUCCAACGUGCUUCAAACGGUAUAAUCCCUUGGCCUGUCGGGUAACGUCCCGAUAAACCACCGAUACACAGGAUCAAAUAAGGUUACCUCACACGAAGGUGAGUCCAGAGAUACAAUCACCAUUAUAUUUUACAUCACAGGGAAUCACUUUACAAGAGUUUCCAACAAUAGAGCAAGGUUUCAAAUUUAGAGAAAACAAUACAAACUGAUAAAGUUAGGGUUUUUAGCAGCGGAAAUCAUACGUGAUGACCUACAGCACGUCGUCAAGACGGAUGUCAUGCUAAGCCCAGGCACGACAUCACUCGAUAUCACCAGUGCUGGCCGAGGACGGAUCCCAUUCCACGGACCAUUCAUCUGGAAGAGCAUAGGGCCAAGGCAAGGGAAGAGUAGGGUCUUCACAGAUAUCACCUGAAAAACAUACAACUAGCAAGGCUGAGUAUACUAAUACUCAGCAAGGCUUACCCGGAAUUGGGUAUACUUUAGCCCAUAACUAGACUUAUGAAGGCUUGUAAAAGUUCUGGGUUUAGUUUCAGCUGAAAAAGCAACUAAGAGUAGAUCCUUAUUUUCAACUUUUAGCUUUCAAGUUCUAUGUGAUUAACCAUUCUAGAUAAGCACUUAUAACUAAGCAAGCAAGGUAGAGCUCUUUAUCUCAUCCAUCAGUAUUGCUUAUCAUAUAGUUGCUCUUCUUACUCUGUGUGAUAAAGGGGAUAAGUAGUCUCAAUCAUCGUGAGAGGCGGACGAUUCUGAAUCGAAUUUAACCUUGCAAGGUAAACCUAACUCACACGCUUGGAACAUCCAAUAUUUGUUCCGAAGCAACCGUUUGCCUUUCAUUCCGACUCGUGGACAGGUCCACCACAAGCGACUGCAGGAACAUACGCACAUCACUCGUGCAGGACAUACGUCUGUAGCGCGACUACAAAACCCGUAUUCCUGGUUGCCCUUGCAACACGUAUUUCCUCAGUCGAACGUAAGUAACCAGAAGAAGCAAUCGAGUGGUGGGAGGUAUGUCCACUCCUCGGGCCGAUUGGCUACUAGGCUUACCGCUUACCCAUAACUCACGGCAUGUGGUUAGUACUUUCAAACGCUUAACCCCGAUCGGCACACACCGCGACCUUAUCAGAUUCAACAACACAGACGGGGUAUCACCUCAACCAUGAUACCGCACAAAACUCCCGUCCGGCAUCCUUAUAGUGAUAACAGAGAUGUAAGCAUUACAACUCCUAUAUCGCGCGAGUGACAGGAAAUCACCCGACUUCUUCCGGCCCUAAUAGCAUAGCAGCUAGUCGGACUCAAGUACUAGUAUCCAUCACAUUGGUUCCUAGGAGAAUGCAACUAGGGUUUCAAGCAAUUCCUAAGAACUUAAUGCAUAGAAUACGUAAAUAGAUAUAGAUUGCAGUAUAAUAAAAAUAGUAGGUUAUGUCCGGGGCUUGCCUUUACUGGUGAGUCUGAAGUUAGGAAUGUUAAUAUCUUCCGAACUUUGGUUCGGGGCUUCAGAUAAUCCUUUGGUGACGUUCCUUUGGUCUUCGGGAACAUCCUCCGUAGACUCCGGGGAGAUCUCGUAGGUACUGUCUGCGGAAGUAGUCGUAUCUACAUGCAAUGCAACAUUCCAUUCAUAGUGUGCACGUAAAACUACCUUACUUCACAAUUCAAUUGCAAUCCAGCAUUCAUACAACAUACUAUUCACAUAUUAACCAAAAAGAUCUGAACUAAACCUAGAUAGAGCUUUAGGGGGACAACUAACUAGAAUCGGCUACUCGUUGAAGAUUACAACAGAGCCGAUUGGAAACAACGAGGGUUUGGCUGAUUGAUGAGUGCGUCGGUUUCCUAGGGGAUCGAUGAAAUCAUCGAUUACCUUGGCAGAAGGAUGACUCCUAAAGUAGUUGUCUUACUGAGAUGUGCUUAGGUGUUAUCUAGGUGACUAAGUGUGGUUGUAUCGACUCGAUUACGUCAGCACAACUAUUGAGUGACGUACAGCCGAUGGGGUAUGGUUAAGGGUAUAGAACCGAUAGAUAUGCAGCCGAUUUCUCAGUUGAUAAAUCGACUGAUAGAAGUGUAUAGAUAAGGGUGGGAAAACUAAGGAUCGAUCGGCUAUAACCGAUAUGGAAAAGUAACUAAAAUCGGCUUGGGUCGGCCGAUGGCAAGAACGCUAAGAUUGUGGGUGCAUCUUCGAUGCAUCGACUACGUGCAGUCGAUGUAGAACAGAACAAAAGAACUGUAUCGGCAGUAGCCGAUACUAGAAAGGUAACAAUCGUAUCAGCUAACCAGCCGAUGGUAGAAGUAUCGACUGACAGCUGUUACAUAGGAACAUCAUAAACUCAAGGAAACGAAUACUUAGCGGCUGAACCAAAAGCUGAUGCUGAGGCAUAACCGUAGAGAUGUUUUGGCUAAGCAGCAGACCUACACAAACUAACAGGGAUCCUUAUACGACAAGGAACUUAAAGAAACGGCAAUCAAGACGAGGACAAUGUCUUGAUGGUAGGGAUAUGAGCUCUAGGGUGAUAGGAUUAACUAACUAUCACACUUCUCCACUUAAAGCAUACACCCUAUAAUUUAUCUUCUAGCUAUAACACAAACAUACAAUAUAAGGCAUAAUAAAACAUUCAUUCUCUAACAUUUGACCUAAACCACACAUUAAAGAUUUUCACUCAAGAUCACAAUAUAAAACUUAUAGGUUUUGACUUAGGGUUUCAAACGAAACUGAUUUUACAUUUUUAUGAACUUCUUAUGAAAAUCUAUGAAAUGUAGAAGUUCAUCGAUUUGAAAUACAGAAAGCUUUGGAAAUUUUACAAGGAACAUCCGAGAAUUUUCUAAAACAUAGCAAUCAAAUCCCUGGUCCGGGAAAACAGAUAACAGGAUGUUAACGACGAUAUCCCGGCAAAGGAAUCGCCGGCAUUAAGAAGAUUCAGAGAAUCAGAGCAAACCUUGGGAUAGCCUUGGUUAUGAAGGAGAACACGCGGAAAGUGAUUUCCCGCGGUGAAUAGGAUUGGCAACGAUAAGAUGAGCUCGAUGAUGACGAGAUCCUGAGGAUGACGAAGAAAUUUGUCGGGGAUGGUUGCCGUGGGUGGAAGAUAACCGAAGGAAUAGUCUCCGUGGUGACUCGUGGUCUUGCUCAGUGAUCGACGAGGAAAAGGAAUUGCUGGGUGUCGUGGACUCCUGGGACGAGAUGACAGAGCCGGAUUGGUUCGCUAUGCCAAAUCCUCCGCGAACCUCAAGGUUUCCUUGCUCACGGCUAAGCCUCCAUUUCUCACACGCGUGUGCCGCUGAGACACGGCCGGCACACUCGCGUAACUUCCUGCAGGACCGCCGCGCUUGAUCUCACCUCCGAUACGCCGCUUCUGCUCUGCUCUGCUCCCGCACCAACGGCGUCUUGCAUCCUUGACGUGUCAUCCAACAACAGAACCCUCGCGUCCUUCAGCACCGUGCGUAUCGGCAUUUCGUCAAACACCUAGGUUGCAUCUUCGAUACGGCCAAACCGCAACUCCUCCGGCGCGCGCGCGUCUGCGCGCUUCAGCUCCUGCGUCGCCUGCGCACUCAUGCGCUUGCGCUACUCCGCCGCCGACUAGACGUCGUCCAAUCCCUGGCACCACCUGCUUCUUUGGGCACCCAAGGAUCUGUUUGAGCCGUUCCCGAGCUGAAACCAUCACCGCAGCACCUUUCCCCUUUCCUCCUUGUGCGCAGUUAUAAUGCCGCUUGCCGGCCUACGCCGUCCACGAGCCUGCGCUCCAGUGCCCGCUUGCUCCUAGCGCCUGCGUAGCAUUGCCUGGAUCCGCUCUGCUCCUCCUGCACCGUGUGCUUGCGCCGUGCCAGCUCUGCUCCUGCGCUCACCCGCUCACACGCACCUCCCGAGCCCCGCGCACCCGCUCGCCCACAUCCAGCGCGCCUCCGCUCGGGCCGCCCCGCGCCAACGCCGCACCACCCGCACGCGCCUGCUCCUGGGCCCACGCCGGGCCGCGCCGCGCGUCCGCCCACGAGCCGGCCGAGCGCCUGCCGCCAUCCGCUCGCUCGGGCGCCGCUCCGUCCGCUGCCGCGUGCCUCCGCUUGGGCCACCUGCCUGCGCCGCUUGGGCGCUUGCGCGCUCCGCGGCCGCCUG
rnacentral:lncRNA from 1 species